ACGCAAGAAGCUUGAUAAGGACUAUUAUUACAAGUAGCCCCUCUCAGGUAACUAUGCAGUUGCACAAAAGAAGAAUAAAGAAAUGAGAGGUGGAAUAUUUGUCUAUAGACCCUCUUCCCACUGCCACACGUGUGUUUGCUUAAAUGUAUCCAGGCACCACUUGUUAUGUUGUUACAACAUGCAAGGUUAAUGAACAUCUCUGACAGUACUGAUGAUGCAGGGAGAGUUUCUCUACAAAACUCUCAAAAGAAAUGCACUUCGGGAAUAAAAACAAAAAAUGUCUUUAAAUGGUUAAGGCCUCUUCAGCAUCACACCAGGAUGACAGUACAUGGGACAUUCAAUUCUAUAAUAAUUCAGCUUAAAGGGACACCAGGCAAUGUUUUGUGUUUAUUAAUCAUCUUC